GACGAACGCUGGCGGCGUGCUUAACACAUGCAAGUCGAACGGUGAAGCGCCUUCCUUUUUGGUGGGUGUGGAUGAGUGGCGAACGGGUGAGUAACACGUGAGUAACCUGCCCCCUUCUUCUGGAUAACCGCAUGAAAGUGUGGCUAAUACGGGAUAUUCUGGGUCUGUCGCAUGGUGGGUCUGGGAAAGAUAUUGUUUCGGUGGGGGAUGGGCUCGCGGCCUAUCAGCUUGUUGGUGGGGUGAUGGCCUACCAAGGCGGUGACGGGUAGCCGGCCUGAGAGGGUGGACGGUCACACUGGGACUGAGACACGGCCCAGACUCCUACGGGAGGCAGCAGUGGGGAAUAUUGCACAAUGGGCGCAAGCCUGAUGCAGCGACGCCGCGUGAGGGAUGGAGGCCUGCGGGUUGUGAACCUCUUUCGCCAGUGAAGCAGGCCUGCCUCGUUUGUGGGUGGGUUGACGGUAGCUGGAUAAGAAGCGCCGGCUAACUACGUG
rnacentral:rRNA from 1 species